UAAAGCCCUUCGGGACUUCACUUAGUGGCGAACGGGUGAGUAACGCGUGAGGAACCUGCCUUUCAGUGGGGGACAACAGUUGGAAACGACUGCUAAUACCGCAUGACGCUUCUUGGGGGCAUCCCUGAGAAGUCAAAGAUUUAUUGCUGAAAGAUGGCCUCGCGUCUGAUUAGCUAGUUGGCGGGGUAACGGCCCACCAAGGCGACGAUCAGUAGCCGGUCUGAGAGGAUGAACGGCCACAUUGGGACUGAGAUACGGCCCAGACUCCUACGGGAGGCAGCAGUGGGGAAUAUUGGGCAAUGGGGGAAACCCUGACCCAGCAACGCCGCGUGAAGGAAGAAGGCCUUCGGGUUGUAAACUUCUUUUAGCAGGGACGAAGGACGUGACGGUACCUGCAGAAAAAGCAACGGCUAACUACGUGCCAGCAGCCGCGGUAAUACGUAGGUUGCAAGCGUUGUCCGGAAUUACUGGGUGUAAAGGGCGUGUAGGCGGAGCUGCAAGUCAGAUGUGAAAUCCCGGGGCUCAACCCCGGAACUGCAUUUGAAACUGUAGCCCUUGAGUAUCGGAGAGGCAAGCGGAAUUCCUAGUGUAGCGGUGAAAUGCGUAGAUAUUAGGAGGAACACCAGUGGCGAAGGCGGCUUGCUGGACGACAACUGACGCUGAGGCGCGAAAGCGUGGGGAGCAAACAGGAUUAGAUACCCUGGUAGUCCACGCUGUAAACGAUGAAUACUAGGUGUGGGAGGACUGACCCCUUCCGUGCCGCAGUUAACACGAUAAGUAU
rnacentral:rRNA from 1 species